GGGGGGGCAAGCGUUGUUCGGAAUUACUGGGCGUAAAGGGCGCGUAGGCGGGCAGGAAAGUCUCUCGUGAAAUCCCACGGCUCAACCGUGGAAUUGCGGGAGAUACUACUUGUCUUGAGUUCGGGAGAGGAGUGUGGAAUUCCCAGUGUAGCGGUGAAAUGCGUAGAUAUUGGGAGGAACACCGGUGGCGAAGGCGGCACUCUGGACCGAUACUGACGCUGAGGCGCGAAAGCUAGGGGAGCAAACGGGAUUAGAUACCCCGGGUAGUCCUAGCUGUAAACGCUGAGCACUUGGUGUAGCGGGUAUCGACCCCCCUGCUGUGCCCGAAGCUAACGCAUUAAGUGCUCCGCCUGGGGAGUACGGUCGCAAGGCUG
rnacentral:rRNA from 1 species